rnacentral:rRNA from 1 species
CCUACGGGAGGCAGCAGUGGGGAAUUUUCCGCAAUGGGCGCAAGCCUGACGGAGCAACGCCGCGUGAGGGACGAAGGCCUCUGGGCUGUAAACCUCUUUUCUCAAGGAAGAAGACAUGACGGUACUUGAGGAAUAAGCCACGGCUAAUUCCGUGCCAGCAGCCGCGGUAAUACGGGAGUGGCAAGCGUUAUCCGGAAUUAUUGGGCGUAAAGCGUCCGCAGGCGGCCUUGAAAGUCUGUUGUUAAAGCGUGGAGCUCAACUCCAUUUAAGCAAUGGAAACUACAAGGCUAGAGUGUGGUAGGGGCAGAGGGAAUUCCCGGUGUAGCGGUGAAAUGCGUAGAUAUCGGGAAGAACACCAGUGGCGAAGGCGCUCUGCUGGGCCAUAACUGACGCUCAUGGACGAAAGCCAGGGGAGCGAAAGGGAUUAGAUACCCCUGUAGUCCUGGCCGUAAACGAUGAACACUAGGUGUCGGGAGAAUUAACCCUUCCGGUGUCGUAGCCAACGCGUUAAGUGUUCCGCCUGGGGAGUACGCACGCAAGUGUGAAACUCAAAGGAAUUGACGGGGGCCCGCACAAGCGGUGGAGUAUGUGGUUUAAUUCGAUGCAACGCGAAGAACCUUACCAGGGUUUGACAUCCUGCGAAUCCCUUGGAAACGAGGGAGUGCCUUCGGGAACGCAGUGACAGGUGGUGCAUGGCUGUCGUCAGCUCGUGUCGUGAGAUGUUGGGUUAAGUCCCGCAACGAGCGCAACCCACGUCUUUAGUUGCCAGCAUUCAGUUGGGCACUCUAGAGAGACCGCCGGUGAUAAACCGGAGGAAGGUGUGGAUGACGUCAAGUCAUCAUGCCCCUUACAUCCUGGGCUACACACGUACUACAAUGCUACGGACAAAGGGCAGCAAACUCGCGAGAGCUAGCAAAUCCCAUAAACCGUGCUCAGUUCAGAUCGUAGGCUGCAACUCGCCUACGUGAAGGAGGAAUCGCUAGUAAUCGCAGGUCAGCAUACUGCGGUGAAUACGUUUCCCGGGUCUUGUACAACACCGUCCGUCACACCAAUGGUAGUGGGCCAUGCCCGAGUCGGUACUCACCCGCAGGGCAGAGACGCGAGUGGCCUGAUGACUGGGCGAAGUCGUACAGGUAGCGCUACGGAGGUGCGCUGAAUCACCUCCUUAACAAGGGGGAGACCAAU